AACGAACGCUGGCGGCAGGCUUAACACAUGCAAGUCGAGCGCAUCCUUCGGGGUGAGCGGCGGACGGGUGAGUAACGCGUGGGAACGUGCCCUCUUCUACGGAAUAGCCCAGGGAAACUUGGAUUAAUGCCGUAUACGCCCGAAAGGGGAAAGAUUUAUCGGAGGAGGAUCGGCCCGCGUUGGAUUAGGUAGUUGGUGGGGUAAUGGCCUACCAAGCCGACGAUCCAUAGCUGGUUUGAGAGGAUGAUCAGCCACACUGGGACUGAGACACGGCCCAGACUCCUACGGGAGGCAGCAGUGGGGAAUCUUGGACAAUGGGGGAAACCCUGAUCCAGCCAUGCCGCGUGAUCGAUGAAGGCCUUAGGGUUGUAAAGAUCUUUCAGCUGGGAAGAUAAUGACGGUACCAGCAGAAGAAGCCCCGGCUAACUCCGUGCCAGCCGCCGCAGUAAUAC
rnacentral:rRNA from 1 species